AUUCCGGUUUCGGACCCUGGCUGGUGUAGACACGUGCAGGUUAGGAGGAGAAUCUUUGGGGCUGUUUUGUGGGUCCACGCUGACUUUUGUGAGCUCUGGGCCCUGAACUCUUGGGCAGUACUGGGCCAGGAACACCCAGAGCCACUUCGAAGCCGCGAAGAAAAAUAGGUUCAUUUAUUUGAACAGCUGCUGCUGCUUAAAGGAUCGUUUUUGUACGAGACAGGCCUACUAAAAGGGCUGACAAAAGAAUUAAACAAUCUUGCUGAGAGGAAAUGAUUCAGUAUGUGACUCCUGAAGGAAUCCAAGAAGGAACAGCGAACAUCUUGAAAGCAGGAUGGACGGCUGGGGAUGGAAAGCCAUCAGCAGACUGUUCCUGUCCUUGGUGCCUGAGAGGCGCAUAAAGAUUACCUGGGUCUCUGUCCUUGAGGCAGAAAAACAGGGAUACAAAAAUAUUAAAUGUUAACUGCACAGGAUUAUCAUUGAAGGCCACCUGGCCUGCUAUGCUCAUGUAAACACGUACAAGCAAGUCUCAAAAAGCAUAAUAAAGCACGCUUAAGAUCAGUUUGGGCACCUUCACCUCGUGGGGGUGUUGGUCCCCUGAUCCCCGCUGUAACUUCCUUGAGUAUUUAUCAUUCUUUUGCCACUGUGGCGCUUUGGGGAACCUGUACUGUCGAGCUGGACUCGACAAGUGACACCCCAACAGGGACCUUAAAGGGAAACCAGUUUUCGAAGCUUCUCAUUAGGAGGCAAGGAACUCGGGGAAUUCUGACCGAAGAGGUGGAUGUGGAAAGUACCUGAGGAAAAUGAACACCGAUGGAUCCUGAGGAGGAGAAUCUGGUACUGGAAAGAAAGAAAACACGAUUUGAUAUAGACCCACCCUCCCGACCUCUGACGCCUGCCAUGCCGUACCUUACAUUAGAACUUGGGCCUGCCAAGACCAAGAGAACGUGAACUGCUACAAUACCCACUUGGGGUCAGAUAAAGAAGUUAUCGCAGGAAGCUGAGAGCCUAGUUCAUCAUCAUGGCCUUCCAAAAACAUCUGCCAAUCUACUACUGGCUAUGGUAACCCUUAUCACAGUGUCGGUAAGUGUUCAAGCUGAUUCCAGUCAUUAUUGGGCAUAUAUUCCCAAUCCUCAUUUAUUAAGACCCAUUACAUAGGAAGAUUCAGUAUUCCUAUAUUUGUCAAUGAAUCAGCCUGGCUUUCCUGGUCCUUAUGAUCAAAGCCUUCCUUUACAAAAGGAAGAAGGGCGAUCUCUAAAAAAUUAUACAGUAAGAACAGACAGCACAUCCAUUUGUAUAGGAUUUGGAGAAUUCUGUUUAAAGAUAGGAUUCCAGGGAUGGCUUUCUAUUGUAGAAAAGCCUGGAGAGAAUAAGAACACUUUUUUCUUAUUAACAGUACUUACUUUUAAAGAAAGAGAAAAUUCCACCAUACAUUAUAGUCCUCCUAAUCUUCCAGGCUAUGCUUUAAGAAUAGGACAUGGUGUGGAUGGAGGACUGGAUCCAGUGGAAAAAUGGUAGACAGUCUGAAGGUCAUCUGUUACUAAAUACUCCUGAGGGACAGACUAUAGAUUGGGGCCCUAGAGGAACCCCUAAGAUUAAAGGAACAAAUAUCUCUAGUCCAUGGAUAUAUCAUAAUGACACACUUAGUACGUAUGGAAAUGCAUCUUUGAUAUGGCAAGGAGAGGGAUUUGCUCCCCCCAUUCCUCAACUUACCCAUCACCCAGUACAUAAUGAGAUUUGGAAGACACCUAUGGCUUUAAAAACCCUUAAGGCUUGCAAUGGCCGUUAUACUGAAUAUAUCUUAAAUGAUCCUAAGGCAACUUUUAAUUUUAAUAAAAAUUCUACUCCUACUAUUCAGGCCUGUGUAAGAUUACCUUUUGUAUUUGUGUUAGGGCCAGUGAUAUAGAACAUCUCUACUGGUCUUAUAAAUUGUAUAAAUUGUUCUUUUUAUACUUGUUUAAACAAUACCAUUCCUUUCAGUGAAUCUUGGCAAAGUAUUUAUGUUUUAAAAACUCAGGUAUUUGGAUACCAGUGGAUUUACAAAGAGGCUGGCAAGAAAGCCCUACUCUUUAUGCCGUAGAAGAAAUUAUAAAAGCAACUUUUAAAAGAACAAAAAGAUUUAUUGGUAUGUUAAUAGCAGCUAUUCUGGGAAUUAUAGCAAUAACUGCCACCACAGCAGUGGCCAGAAUAGCAUUGCAUCAGUCUGUUCAAAGUGUUCAUUUUGUACAAGAAUGGCCUAAGGAUGCAGACGUUCUUUGGCCCACUCAACAAAAAAUAGAUGAAAAAUUGGCUUCACAAGUGGCUGACUUACAACAUUCUGUUAUUUUAUUAGAUAAAUUGGUAAGUCUACAAAAACAAGACUAAAAGUGUGACUAGAAUUACACAUCAUUCUGUGUGACUGCACAUAAAUAUAAUCAAGCAACUUUCAACUGGGAUAAGGUUAAACGACAUUUACUAAAUCAAGGAAAUAUUACAUUAGAUAUACAAGAGUUACGACGUGACAUUCUAGACAUGUUUAAUAAAAAACUUGCUGUGAU